AGUCGAACGAAUCUCAUCUGGGUAACUGGGUGGGGGAAGUGGCGAAAGGGGCAGUAAUGUAUGGGUAACCUACCCUGGGGUUGGGCAUAGCCGUUCUAACGAGCGGGUAAUUCCCAGCGAUUUAGCGAGGCGGCAUCGUUUUGCUAAGAAAGAAUUUCGCCUCGGGAGGGGCUCAUAUGAUAUUAGCUAGUUGGUGAGGUAACGGCUCACCAAGGCGAAGAUGUCUAGCGGGUGUGAGAGCACGACCCGCGCCACUGGCACUGAGACACUGGCCAGACACCUACGGGUGGCUGCAGUCGAGGAUCUUCGGCAAUGGGCGAAAGCCUGACCGAGCGACGCCGCGUGUGCGAAGAAGGCCUUCGGGUUGUAAAGCACUGUCGAGGGGGAUCAAGGGAAACUUGAGUGAUCCCUGGAGGAAGCACGGGCUAAGUUCGUGCCAACAGCCGCGGUAAGACGAACCGUGCGAACGUUGUUCGGAAUCACUGGGCUUAAAGGGCGCGUAGGCGGCUUGUCAAGUCAGGGGUGAAAUCCGGCAGCUUAACUGUCGAAGUGCCUUUGAUACUGACGAGCUCGAGGGAGGUAGGGGUCUGUGGAACUUCUGGUGGAGCGGUGAAAUGCGUUGAUAUCAGAAGGAACGCCGGUGGCGAAAGCGACGGACUGGACCUCUUCUGACGCUGAGGCGCGAAAGCUAGGGGAGCAAACGGGAUUAGAUACCCCGGUAGUCCUAGCCCUAAACGUUGGGUACUAGAUAGUAGACUUUCAUGGGUUUACUGUCGAAGCAAAAGUGUUAAGU
rnacentral:rRNA from 1 species